GGAACCCUUUUCCUUGGUUUCCUACUUGAAGCAGUGUUUGUUUUCCUCCUCAGCUGAUUUUGGCCUCUGUGCUGUGCUCAGCCCUGAGCACAGGAAACGGAGGUCGAUGGUCGGGACCACUUACUGGAUGGCACCCGAGGUGGUGAGAAGAGAGCCUUACGGCCCCAAAGUGGACACCUGGUCCCUUGGCAUUGUGGGAAUAGAAAUGGCCACAGGAGAGGCUCCUUAUAUGCAGGAGACCAGUGACAAGGCCAGCUACCUGAUAGGCAAGCAAGGGGUUCCAAAUCUGCACCAGCUCAGGCUACCCCCUGGCUUGUGUGAAUUUCUGGGCUGCUGCCUGCAGAUGGAUGUGGACAGGCAAGGCUCUGCCAAGGAACUUCUGCAGCAUCCAUUUCUGCAAUCAGCAGAGCCUCUCUUAAGCCUCUUCUGACAGCCUGAUUGCUGCCAUCCCUGCAGCAAGGGAAUGCAGGAAGCAAAGGAAAUGAGAAGGACCACGUCAGCACUGGAGAACAGAGCCUCUGAGAGCACGUAGGAAUCCAGAGAAGAGAGGGGCUAGGAAAGAGGGAGCCAUCAGAGCAGGAAAGGAAGGAGCUGGAAGGGCAGCGUUUGGAGGCACAGUAGCUGCUGGCACCAUGGGCAAACUUCCUGGCAGAGGUAGAGAAGGAGCAGGAGAAAAGGCUGCUUGAGAUGAAGCAGGAAGUUGCCACCAUGCAAGUGACCAAGAAGAGAAAAUCAGCUCCAUCUCAGAACCCCACCAACACCAGUCAAGUGACAUCUCUGGGACCUUCUGAGAGAGACGCUCCAGCAAGACCUGCUCAGAAACGGCCUCUGGCUUCUGAAUUUAUCAGUCCUGUGAUGAGGAAGAAGAGGACAAUUGGUCACUGGCCCAGUCAUGUCCAGGCAGCAGCUGGUGGCCACUUUUCUUCCUUCUUUCUGCCUUCCACAUCCCUUUGCUUUUUGGACAUGCUUCCAAGUUUUGGCUCCAUUUCCCCCUGCACUCAUGUGGUGCAAAAACGAGAGAAAUUUCAGAGUUCCAUCAUCCCAGCACCUGCCAGAGUGCAGAGGAGAUCCCCAAUUCAAACAGGAAGAAAAAUGAAUUGGGAAGACUGAAGCAGUUGCAUCCCUUGGAUUUCGAUGAAGGAACAAGAAAAGAUCCUUCCAUUGCCUCCACAUGCUCUGCAACAAGCAACCAAGCAGACUACUUGAGAAAAUACAGAGCAAUUGUCUCCUUGGAGCAACGCUAGCACUACAAGGACGACUUCAAUGCAGAAUAUGAGGAAUAUUGGAAUUUAUAUUUUAAGAUUGACAAGAUCAUCAAGAAAUUCAGACAAUUUCAGGAGCAAUGGAAGUCUCUGACUCCAGGCUCCAAAGCUUAUCAGAUGCUGCAUUAUCGAAUCCUAGCAGAUUAUCAGCAGUUACAACAGGGUAGCCCCAGCUACUCUGAAAUGAAGAGUGGGUGCCAGUACCUCCACAAGAAGCUGGCCCAUAUUCAGAGCCGCAUUUCUGAAUUUGACCAGCAGUGAGUGGAGUACUGGCACCAGACAUCAGCUUCAGCAUGGAAGAUCUCUGAAAUCAGGAUUUUUCAUUUCAACUAGAAGAUUAGAUUUUUUAGGAUUCUUUAAAUUAGUACAGAAGAGUAGGUUAUCUUAGCACUGAGCAGUAGGUGAUUUCUUAUAAAUGUAGGAUUAGUUCAAAGAAGUUUAGUAAGUUUAAGUCAAAGUUGAAAGAUGAUAGUAUUGAAAUUUAACAAUAAAGAAAUCUCACUAUUGGUAA